GCAUAGUAUAGCAUAGCAGGGAGAUACUUUCUCAGGAUGAGUGUUUUCAAGAUUCAAGAGAGACGACUUGUCUUUCAGAGGGUGAAAGCCUCGGCACGGGAUUGUUGUGUUAUGCACAGUUUCGUCACGGCACAACAGGCAGGUCAGCUUUCAUUCAUUCGCCGUUGACGCUGCGGUACGGACGGAGUGGAUGCAGAAGAUCAGAAGUUUCAGCCAGGGUACGAGCCAUCCCCGCGCCAGGAAAUGUGCUUGCGUGGUUCAUUGCAGGACGGUGUAUAUUUACCAGUAGGCCAGUAGCUUGGGAGCGGCCAUAAAGAUCAAACAAGACGCGGCAGACAAGAAUUAACAAGAACCUUCUGCUCGGUGCAGCCGGAGAGAUUUCUUUUUUGUCAUGGCAUCAAUAUUCUCAUCUAACUCAUUUUUUUUAAAUCACACAAAAAAAAGACAAUUAAAUAAAGAAAACAAACAAAAGAAAUUACUUAUUAAAAGGAAAAACUCCAAAGGGGCUUUCCUUUCUUUCAUGUAUCUAGGGCAGCCUUUCGACUUUGGCGAAACCAUCGCUUAUCCAGGACUUCGGCUUCGCCUGUCACUUAUAAAGUUAUGUUAUAAAUGUUUCAUCAGCAGAUAUACACCAGCGCGCUGCGCGUUUCAGCGCAACUCCAGGAUCAAUACAGGAAGGAAGACGGAGCCUAAAUUGCUUGGGCAGCUGACAGGAAACUCUCCCUUGAGUCCAUCACUCAUGUCACAGCGAGUUGGGAUCAGAAAAUAAAGAUGAGGGAAAUUAGAUAUUUCUUUUCUCCUUUAUAAUUUUCCGGGGGACUGACUAGCGCACCACAAACAGUUGAAAAGAAACAGAUAGCAGCAGCAGUUAGCACGCUGUAUAUAAGAGGAGCCUUUUUUUCGUUAUUCUUCAUUAUUCACAUCGGAUUGUCACGUCCUGUCUUUCAAGUGAACAGCCUGAAGACACGGCAGCCAUUUGGAUAGUUUCACUGUUUGCUCGAUCUUCCAUUCAGUCAGUUUGAAAUAAAUCAACACUGUCUCUAAAUCAUUACGCGUGUGACUCAUCGGUAGGAUACAGUUUUUUUGUUUUUUUUUUAAAUAAGGUAAAAUAUAUACAUUUUUUGUGACAAGUUGCCUUCCAUUCCAUAAAUUUUUAAAUAAUCAGUCUCAGACUUGGCUGUUAGUUCGAGUACAAGAAAAUGAAUGGGAAACCUAUCUAAAGUGCUUGUUCCAAAUUGUUUAGCAAGACAUUGUUCUUGUCCAAUGUAGGAAGAAAAAAAAAAAAACAAUAUGCUUCAUCUUGUAAGAGGCAUGAAAAACACUGAUGUUUUUGAGGAGCAUUAAGACAGAUUUCGGCCGCUGUUGAGCAGGAAACAGAUAUUUGUAACUCUGUGUCCGUGGCGUCCCAAGAACCUGUCAGUGCGGCCUCCCCCCAGAGCUUGGCGGUUGCGCACAACGCCUCUUUCAAUCCAUAAUGAAGAACAGCCCACAAAAUGAAAUGUUUGCAACAGAUUCAGAAAGACAAGCUCCAUACUAGAUGGUCAGGAUGGAUGGAUGGGGUCCAGGAUGAUUUGUGAACGGUCGCUGAUAUAGGCUGGAGCAUUGGUAGGUAAUAUGUAAUUCUGACAGGCCGAGCCAUGUUGAUGGAUCUCUGAUGAAUUAUCGUUUGGUAUUUUAUUCAUCCACAUGAGCCUCAGUAUGGUCUUCCUCCCUUGCCUCACCUCCUCUCCAGUCUUAUCGACAGACAGCUCACAGCUCUGAGCUAGCAAUACUCUCUGAGCGACACAUAAGCUGCUUUGUGCAUGAAACACACACCUGCUCAAGGGGCGUUUGGAAGCCGAGCAUCCAAUUACAUUUGAAUUCUUCAAUUUGAGCAGUAAUGCGUCAAACGAGUUAUAUCCUCCCCACGCAGUUCUUUCAAUGGUGACGCCGAGUUCGUCACCUCACACUAAUGCUGAGGAGGUUUGGAAGCAUAAAGCAGUAUCCGUUAUUUUAUUUUAAGUUUGCUUCUUUUGCUUCGAGUAAUUUCAUUUCUUCCAUCUUAUUUCUACAUGUUUCCACUUUUUGCAACGCCACUUUCAACCCUUUCAUGUUUCUAAUCCUCCCAUUUUCUCAUUACCAUGUGUGCACUAUUUAUGUGCUCAUUUAACUGUAAUGAAGUCCUGCGAUAGACCCUUCACAGGGCGCUUCCUGCAAAAGGGCACAGAUCAUGUGUGUGUGAUUGGAUUACUGACUGCCUGGUGGUAAUGUUUAACCACAGCAGAGGCUUACCCUUUCACUCUCUCUCUCUUUCUCUUUCUCUCUUGCCCCGUGUGUGUGUGCGUGUAUUUGGAUUUAUUUGAGAAUGGAUUUUACGCCACCUGUUUGUUUCAGACAUCACGUCAGUUCGAACCGCACCACUCGGCUUGGUACGGAAUCCGAAAUUUUGAGUUUCUCCCGACUGCUUCCCAUUUCACGAGGCAUUUAACUCGCAUUGUUUUUAAUGUUGCUGGUAUUCGCUUUUCAACGUAUGGAUACAUUUUGGGUAUAUCACAAGCAGGCGCUGUGAAUUAAGUCAAAGUGGAAAUGAGACGACUGUUUUUGAAAACAAAUAUGAAUGCAGAUUACCUUAAAUAUUUCUCGCAGGGAGUACAGUAGUCCUUCAAAAACUUCCUUAAAUGAGCACUUUGCAGAUUUUCUUCCUCUGUUUAUACGAAUAAACAAAAACAACAGCCUUUUCUCGGCAUCUCCAGUUACCCCUCAAAAUCCUCAGCACUGCUUUCACUCCAAACCAACAAUCUUUCCAGAGCAACAUUUGCAUCUGUUAACAUUAAUGAGCUUAGAGGAUGUAUGGAUGAGUCUACUUUUACCAGUAGAUUUGAUGACAGGGUUUUUAUUUCACAAAGCGUAGGAGGCAGAGAGAAGCGGAGGCUGCAGCUGCAUUAACCUUGCCUUACUGCUGGUCCAUUCACACUGACUGUUAAGAGUGCAAACAUCGACUGCUGCUGUCUUUGCACAAAAUGUUGUCAACAGAAGCUAAAUCAUGCGUCCAUAAAUUUCAGCAUCGGGCUGCUAUUGUUGGACACUGUUGCUAAUGCCAACCAAGAGGAAGCCAAUGUGUGCUUUAAAAUGCAUACUUGUUUCAGUCCUCACUUGGAUGCAGACAUGCUUCUUCAAGAUCCCAAAGACAAAAUGGGAUAAAACACUUUCAGUUGCCUUUCCAGUUUUUCCCUUAAGCUGGGAAGAUGGGCAUGGUCAAUGCAUGUUGUUACAUGUCAGCAUUUUAACAAUGACGGCACAAGCAUAUACGCAGGGCUCUGAAGUUUUGAAUUUAGUUUGGAGUGAGUUUUGUUUUACUUGGGGGGUGUGGGUUGUUUAAAGAUAACCUACCAUCAUUCAUAAGCAAAUAUCCUGCAUAGUUCCUACACUGUAAUAAUCAACUAUUGUAAAAGAUAAUAAUAAUAAUCAGUGGCGUCUUUGCAUUAGGGGUUGGGCAUGACCCCACCAGAGGGCGCUGCUGUGCAGGGGAGAAUUAUACGCUUUUCUAAAUUCUCCUGUGUAAGAUAAUAAUAAAUUCAACUUUGCCUCCAAUUUACUGUCUGCAGUUUUCAUUUGAUGAGUUGUGUGUGAAUAGCGUUGUGAGCCCUGAUGCUCUGUUUCCGCUUGGUGAGGCACAGCCGAGAUGCCCCUAACCUGCUGUGUUGUGGACUGGUUAACUGGUGCGCGUGAAUGCAUGUGUACAGCGCAAACUUCGGUUUGGGUAGUGGGGCCUGAAGUUCAGGGCCCCAGAGGCUUCUUAUUGGAUGAUUUGAAGCAAGGGGCGAGGACUGCACAGGUCUUACUAGCUGGCUAAUGUAGUUGGGAUAAAGAAACAUACCUGUAGCUAAUUAAUUCACAUUUUAUUCGUUCAUUGCAUAAUGAAUUGAGUUAACUACCUGGUUAGUGUACGCUUUAGGACUUUACCACUUGAGCAGACGUUGGAGAUUAAACGUCCAGGACCAGAUCCAUGUUGGAUUUAAUCAUUUUUCAAAAGGGAAAAAACAAAACU